rnacentral:rRNA from 1 species
CCUACGGGUGGCAGCAGUGGGGAAUAUUGGGCAAUGGGCGCAAGUCUGACCCAGCAACGCCGCGUGAGCGAUGAAGGUCUUCGGGUUGUAAAGUUCUUUACUCAGGGACGAAGAAAGUGACGGUACCCGCAGAAUAAGCCUCGGCUAACUACGUGCCAGCAGCCGCGGUAAUACGUAGGAGGCAAGCGUUAUCCGGAAUGACUGGGCGUAAAGGGCGUGUAGGUGGGUAGGCAAGUCAGUAGCGUAAUCUCGGGGCUCAACCUAGGGGCUACAAUUGAAACUGUUGAACUUGAGUGCAGGAGGGGUGAAUGGAAGUCCCAGUGUAGCGGUGGAAUGCGUAGAUAUUGGGAGGAACACCAGUGGCGAAGGCGAUUCACUGGACUGUAACUGACGCUGAGGCACGAAAGCGUGGGGAGCAAACAGGAUUAGAUACCCCAGUAGUC